CAGCAGACACAUUCCAGCCAAUCAGCAGCAGACCCUCCCUCCCAGACCCUCCCACCUCCUGGACAGCUCACUAAGAAUGCAGCUUCACAAUGAAUGUAAAAUGAAUGCUGUCCAGGAGGUGGGAGGGUCUGGGAGGGAGGGUCUUCUGCUGAUUGGCUGGAAUGUGCCUGCUG